GAAGCAUGACCGUAAGGACAUGUGGACAGUAUGGGAGUGAGAAUGUUGGCAUGAGUAGCGAGAUGUGGGUGAGAAUCCCACAGGCCGUAAACCCAAGGUUUCCAGGGGAAGGUUCGUCCGCCCUGGGUUAGUCGGGACCUAAGCUGAGGCCGAAAGGCGUAGGUGAUGGACAACAGGUUGAUAUUCCUGUACUACCGAUAACCGUUUGAGAGA
rnacentral:rRNA from 1 species